rnacentral:lncRNA from 1 species
UGUCUCAUUCUUGUGAUUAGUGUCUGUCUAUAUAUCCCUGUCUUCCCCCAGUGUUCCUUGUCAGUUUGUACAUUGAUGUUACCUCGUGUCUACCCCGUGUCCUGCUCGUGUCUACCCCAUGUCCUGCUCGUGUCUACCCCGUCUCCUGCUUGGAUUGAACGAACUGGCCAAGUAUUGACCGCGACAGUCUCCAGUUCCUGCUGCCGGACCUCCGCAGACUUCCAUUCCUGCUGCCGGACCUUCGCAGACUUCUGUUCCUGCUGCUGGACCUCCCGAAUAGCUGAAGAAAUAUACAGUACAGUAGUGUGACCUGCGUCUUGUGUAUUUUGUAUCCGCUAUAGAGGGGUCAGAGAAUUUGUCUGAAAUGAACUUUCUAAUCCUGUUGUAGUAAAUUUCUUCCAUUAAGGGCUCUGCCUUGUAAUGUAUAAAUAUAAUAAGAGGUAAUCAAUAUGUUAAAUAUCUAUCUAAUGUUAGAAGUUGACAGUGUGCAUAUGACCAGGGCUGCAAAACAUUUUUUUUUUUUUUAAAGGUAACUUGACAAGCCCCAGACUUAAUGGAGUCAUGGACGAGCACAUGUACCUAUAACAUCAUAUGAUAACAAGAAGAAAAUCAAAAGUGUGGAAUUCCUGUUGUACUUAAUAUCUGUGAGGUGGUUAUAGAUUUACAUCUUCAGUAUAGGGACCAAUGGGCUUGUUCCUGCUGACGACAAGGUAGAGAAAGUACAAUACAUUGUUGGUUUUAGUCUUUUUAUGGGAACUGUUUUACAAUAAGAAAAAUCUAGAAUACUGCCAGCCUUAUCCUUUCAUGACAAUUAACUGCCUUUAGUUUGAGCCAGCAGUCAGAUUGGUUUUAAACUGGUGAGAAAAUCUAGCAAGUGGCCCUUAAAUUGAGAAUAAUUUGUCAAACCUUGUGCACUUGGCUCUAAUUUGACAUUUUUAAAACGUAUGUAGUUACCGCUGACAGUCAUUGAUUAUCAUUGGUGUCCAAUGGCUUCCGUCUAGAGUAACAUACUGUAGGUUAUCACACAACCGGCCUGCUGGCUGUGAUGUUGUGGCACACUGCCAACUUCACACCUUUCCCACCUGUCAAGUUAUAAGCAGGGCACACUGUGGCUGUCUUUGAAAUGAACAAAAAAUAUAUUUGCGCAAACAGAUGGCCAUCGGGAACUGUGUUUAGCCAGAUGGCAUUUAAAUUGACAAAAGGAGCAAACGCCUUAAGCCAUGACUAAUACUGUGUUUGUAAUGAGAUAAAGGAAUUUUUACUUGAGUGAAUUUGUGUUUUCUUUAUCAUGUUUACACAGGAGCAUGAUGCAAUCUUUUAAGACAAAAAGGUCACAAUUAAGAUGCCAAAUCGUAUUAAAGGCUUAGCGACAUUAAAAAAAGAUGACAACCCAGUCGCAGCAAC